CAAGAGCGUAUGUAAAAGUUGUUGCAGUUAAAAAGCUCGUAGUUGAACCUUGGGUUUGGUUGGCCGGUCCGCUUUUUUGCGAGUACUGGAUUCAACCGAGCCUUUCCUUCUGGCUAACCCGUCGUUUCGGCGGCUGGCGAACCAGGAUUUUUACUUUGAGAAAAUUAGAGUGUUCAAAGCAGGCAUUAGCUUGAAUAUAUUAGCAUGGAAUAAUAGAAUAGGACGUUAUGGUUCUAUUUUGUUGGUUUCUAGGACCAUCGUAAUGAUUAAUAGGGACGGUCGGGGGCAUCAGUAUUCAGUUGUCAGAGGUGAAAUUCUUGGAUUUACUGAAGACUAACUACUGCGAAAGCAUUUGCCAAGGACGUUUUCAUUAA
rnacentral:rRNA from 1 species